rnacentral:lncRNA from 1 species
GGCGCGGUCGGACUGGGCCGGUUCGGCCCAAAGUGGCCGGGCUGGUCCGGUUACCCCUUUUUUUUCUUUUAGACCUUUUCUUUUUUCUGUUUUUCACUUUUCUUUGAUAUCUUUUGAGUUUGAACUCCAAAUUGGUCCAAAUAAAUUCCAGAAAAUUUGUAAAAUCAUGUUCUACCAUGAUUCAACUUUUGGGAGUAGUUUUCCCUCAAAAUAAAAUAUAUAAAAACACAUUUGCCCUAUAAAUGCCUUUAGGGCUAUAUAUACCUAUUGAAAUAAAAUACUUUUUCAACUCCAAAUAAUUAUCCAAAAAAUAUGGGAUAGCAUAUAUAUGCAAUAAACCCCUUUUAUACUUAAACCUUAAUGGUUUGAAGAUCCAAAGCUCAAAUGGGUGUAAACCCUAGGGUUUAAAAUGAAACAAAAAUGUUUCCAAAGCCCUUUGAGAUUCAAAUUUGAAUUCAAAUAUGCAAUUGUGGCAUGAUGCUUAUGAAUGUAAUGCUCAUGUAAAGGUUUGAAAUUUUGGGAUGUUA